rnacentral:rRNA from 1 species
AACGGCCAUACCAUGUUGAAAACAACGGUUCUCGUCCUAUCACCGAAGUUAAGCAACAUUGGUCGUGGUUAGUACUUGGAUGGGUGACCGCUUGGGAACACCACGUGCUGUUG